CGCGGCCUAUCAGCUUGUUGGCGGGGUAACGGCCCACCAAGGCGACGAUCCAUAGCUGGUCUGAGAGGACGAUCAGCCACACUGGGACUGAGACACGGCCCAGACUCCUACGGGAGGCAGCAGUAGGGAAUCUUGCGCAAUGGGCGAAAGCCUGACGCAGCGACGCCGCGUGCGGGAAGAAGGCCUUCGGGUUGUAGACCGCUUUCAGGAGGGACGAAGCCACUCGGGUGAAUAGCCCAGAGGGUGACGGUACCUCCAGAAGAAGCCCCGGCUAACUACGUGCCAGCAGCCGCGGUAAUACGUAGGGGGCAAGCGUUGUCCGGAUUUAUUGGGCGUAAAGAGCGUGUAGGCGGUCAGGUAGGUCGGUUGUGAAAACUGGAGGCUCAACCUUCAGACGUCGACCGAAACCCCCUGGCUAGAGUCCGGGAGAGGAGAGUGGAAUUCCUGGUGUAGCGGUGAAAUGCGCAGAUAUCAGGAAGAACACCCGUGGCGAAAGCGGCUCUCUGGAACGGUACUGACGCUGAGACGCGAAAGCGUGGGGAGCGAACAGGAUUAGAUACCCUGGUAGUCCACGCCGUAAACGAUGGGCGCUAGGUGUGGGAGGUGUCGACUCCUUCCGUGCCGAAGCUAACGCAUUAAGCGCCCCGCCUGGGGAGUACGG
rnacentral:rRNA from 1 species